GACGAACGCUGGCGGCGUGCUUAACACAUGCAAGUCGAACGGAAAGGCCCUGCUUUUGUGGGGUGCUCGAGUGGCGAACGGGUGAGUAACACGUGAGUAACCUGCCCUUGACUUUGGGAUAACUUCAGGAAACUGGGGCUAAUACCGGAUAGGAGCUCCUGCUGCAUGGUGGGGGUUGGAAAGUUUCGGCGGUUGGGGAUGGACUCGCGGCUUAUCAGCUUGUUGGUGGGGUAGUGGCUUACCAAGGCUUUGACGGGUAGCCGGCCUGAGAGGGUGACCGGCGACAUUGGGACUGAGAUACGGCCCAGACUGCAACGGGAGGCAGCAGUGGGGAAUAUUGCACAAUGGGCGGAAGCCUGAUGCAGAAACGCCGCGUGCGGGAUGACGGCCUUCGGGUUGUAAACCGCUUUCGCCUGUGACGAAGCGUGAGUGACGGUAAUGGGUAAAGAAGCACCGGCUAACUACGUG
rnacentral:rRNA from 1 species